UACGAAGGGUGCAAGCGUUAAUCGGAAUUACUGGGCGUAAAGCGCGCGUAGGUGGUUCAGUAAGUUGGAAGUGAAAUCCCCGGGCUCAACCUGGGAACUGCAUCCAAAACUGCUGAGCUAGAGUACGGUAGAGGGUGGUGGAAUUUCCUGUGUAGCGGUGAAAUGCGUAGAUAUAGGAAGGAACACCAGUGGCGAAGGCGACCACCUGGACUGAUACUGACACUGAGGUGCGAAAGCGUGGGGAGCAAACAAG
rnacentral:rRNA from 1 species